rnacentral:rRNA from 1 species
UUGAGGUAGUGACAAGAAAUAACAAUACGGGGCUUAACGUCUUGUAAUUGGAAUGAUGGGAAUCUAAACCUCUUCCAGAGUAUCAAUUGGAGGGCAAGUCUGGUGCCAGCAGCCGCGGUAAUUCCAGCUCCAAUAGCGUAUAUUAAAAUUGUUGCAGUUAAAAAGCUCGUAGUUGAAUUUCUGCCGCCCCGCCUCUGCCCCUCGACGGGCGUUUGCGCCGCGGCUUUUUCGGAUUAUGCUUGCAUUUUCCGAGUGUUACUUUGAGAAAAUUAGAGUGCUCAAAGCAGGCUUUUGCCUUGAAUAGUUUAGCAUGGAAUAAUAGAGUAGGACUUUGGUUCUAUUUUGUUGGUUUUAGGUACCAAAGUAAUGGUUAAUAGGAACAGUUGGGGGCAUUCGUAUUUAACUGUCAGAGGUGAAAUUCUUAGAUUUGUUAAAGACGAACUACUGCGAAAGCAUUUGCCAAGGAUGUUUUCAUUAAUCAAGAACGAAAGUUAGGGGAUCGAAGAA